rnacentral:rRNA from 1 species
AUACGGAGGGGGUUAGCGUUGUUCGGAAUUACUGGGCGUAAAGCGUACGUAGGCGGAUUGGAAAGUAUGGGGUGAAAUCCCAGGGCUCAACCCUGGAACUGCCUCAUAAACUCCCAGUCUAGAGUUCGAGAGAGGUGAGUGGAAUUCCGAGUGUAGAGGUGAAAUUCGUAGAUAUUCGGAGGAACACCAGUGGCGAAGGCGGCUCACUGGCUCGAUACUGACGCUGAGGUGCGAAAGCGUGGGGAGCAAACAGGAUUAGAAACCCUAGUAGUCC